rnacentral:rRNA from 1 species
AGAGGGUGCAAGCAUUAAUCGGAUUUAUUGGGCGUAAAGAGCGCGUAGGCGGGUUUUUAAGUCAGAUGUGAAAUCCUGGGGCUCAACCCCAGAACAGCAUUUGAAACUGAAAAUCUUGAGGGUAGUCGGAGAAAAUGGAAUUCCACGUGUAGCGGUGAAAUGCGUAGAUAUGUGGAAGAACACCGGUGGCGAAGGCGAUUUUCUAGAUUAUACCUGACGCUGAGGCGCGAAAGCAAGGGGAUCAAACAGGAUUAGAUACCCUGGUAGUCCUYGCCGUAAACUAUGUAUACUUGAUGUAACUGGAAUCAACCCUGGUUGUGUCGUAGCUAACGCGAUAAGUAUACCGCCUGAGGAGUACGCUCGCAAGGGUG